rnacentral:rRNA from 1 species
GAGUUUGAUCAUGGCUCAGAUUGAACGCUGGCGGCAGGCCUAACACAUGCAAGUCGAACGGUAACAGGAAGAAGCUUGCUUCUUUGCUGACGAGUGGCGGACGGGUGAGUAAUGUCUGGGAAACUGCCUGAUGGAGGGGGAUAACUACUGGAAACGGUAGCUAAUACCGCAUAACGUCGCAAGACCAAAGAGGGGGACCUUCGGGCCUCUUGCCAUCGGAUGUGCCCAGAUGGGAUUAGCUAGUAGGUGGGGUAACGGCUCACCUAGGCGACGAUCCCUAGCUGGUCUGAGAGGAUGACCAGCCACACUGGAACUGAGACACGGUCCAGACUCCUACGGGAGGCAGCAGUGGGGAAUAUUGCACAAUGGGCGCAAGCCUGAUGCAGCCAUGCCGCGUGUAUGAAGAAGGCCUUCGGGUUGUAAAGUACUUUCAGCGGGGAGGAAGGGAGUAAAGUUAAUACCUUUGCUCAUUGACGUUACCCGCAGAAGAAGCACCGGCUAACUCCGUGCCAGCAGCCGCGGUAAUACGGAGGGUGCAAGCGUUAAUCGGAAUUACUGGGCGUAAAGCGCACGCAGGCGGUUUGUUAAGUCAGAUGUGAAAUCCCCGGGCUCAACCUGGGAACUGCAUCUGAUACUGGCAAGCUUGAGUCUCGUAGAGGGGGGUAGAAUUCCAGGUGUAGCGGUGAAAUGCGUAGAGAUCUGGAGGAAUACCGGUGGCGAAGGCGGCCCCCUGGACGAAGACUGACGCUCAGGUGCGAAAGCGUGGGGAGCAAACAGGAUUAGAUACCCUGGUAGUCCACGCCGUAAACGAUGUCGACUUGGAGGUUGUGCCCUUGAGGCGUGGCUUCCGGAGCUAACGCGUUAAGUCGACCGCCUGGGGAGUACGGCCGCAAGGUUAAAACUCAAAUGAAUUGACGGGGGCCCGCACAAGCGGUGGAGCAUGUGGUUUAAUUCGAUGCAACGCGAAGAACCUUACCUGGUCUUGACAUCCACGGAAGUUUUCAGAGAUGAGAAUGUGCCUUCGGGAACCGUGAGACAGGUGCUGCAUGGCUGUCGUCAGCUCGUGUUGUGAAAUGUUGGGUUAAGUCCCGCAACGAGCGCAACCCUUAUCCUUUGUUGCCAGCGGUCCGGCCGGGAACUCAAAGGAGACUGCCAGUGAUAAACUGGAGGAAGGUGGGGAUGACGUCAAGUCAUCAUGACCCUUACGACCAGGGCUACACACGUGCUACAAUGGCGCAUACAAAGAGAAGCGACCUCGCGAGAGCAAGCGGACCUCAUAAAGUGCGUCGUAGUCCGGAUUGGAGUCUGCAACUCGACUCCAUGAAGUCGGAAUCGCUAGUAAUCGUGGAUCAGAAUGCCACGGUGAAUACGUUCCCGGGCCUUGUACACACCGCCCGUCACACCAUGGGAGUGGGUUGCAAAAGAAGUAGGUAGCUUAACCUUCGGGAGGGCGCUUACCACUUUGUGAUUCAUGACUGGGGUGAAGUCGUAACAAGGUA